rnacentral:lncRNA from 8 species
AUGCGUAAACUAGGCUACGCCACCGCUGGUGGAUUGGAACGCUGCAGACUUCUUAUCUCGGGAUUGUUGCUUCAUUGCAGGGCAGCUAGACUAUCAUUGCAGGUGGAGAUUCUGGAUGCCAAGACCAAGGACAAACUCUGCUUCCUGGACAAGGUAAGACGGCUUCACAAAUACUGGUGUGUGUGUGUGUGGGGGGACACGUCUAUCUGUGUGUGUACGUCUAUCUCUGUGUGUGUGUGUGUGUGUGUGUGUGUGUGUGUGUGUGUGUGUGUGUUAAAUAGUCCUAUCUAGCCUGCACCUGUUGCACUAUUAGUCGAAUGUAGGACACUCCACUGUACUCAGGUCAGAAGUGCUGUCUGUCUGUUUGAGCCCAGUCAGUCAGUAUAGUGCUGUGAAGCUCCAGGUACAACCUGAAGUAGUUACCUGUUGAGGACAGACGUUCCGCUAGCGGAACGCCUAGCCAAUAUCCAAUGGAACAGCGUGGCGCGAAAUACGAAAACCUCAAAAAUCCAAUAAUUUCCAUUUCUCAAACAUACGACUAUUUUACACCAUUUUUUGAAAGAUACACUUCUCCUUAAUCCAACCACAUUGUCCGAUUUCAAAAAGGCUUUACAGCGAAAGCAAAACAUUAGAUUAUGUCAGGAGAGUACAUAGACCAAAAUAACCACACAGCCAUUUUCCAAGCAAGCAUAUAUGUCAAUAAAACCCAAAACACAGCUAAAUGAAGCACUAACCUUUGAUCUUCAUCAGAUGACACUCCUAGGACAUUAUGUUACACAAUACAUGUAUGUUUUGUUCAAUUAAGUUCAUAUUUAUAUCCAAAAACAGCUUUUUACAUUGGCGCGUGAUGUUCAGAAAAUGUAUUCCCACCAAAAACUUCCGGUGAAUUUACAAAAAUACUCAUCAUAAACGUUGACAAAAUACAUAAUUAUUUUAAGAAUUAUAGAUACAGAACUCCUUUAUGCAACCGCUGUGUCAGAUUUUAAAAUAAAAAAACAGCGUGGUCGCGGGAACGCGCAUAUCCAAUCCCUUUGUUGCCAGGCAGACCACUCAGUAACUGACCUCCUAUACUCUGCCCAGUGACAGGAGAAGGCUCAAACCACUUUCCGAAGGCUUUAGACAGCCAAUGGAAGCCUUAGAAAGUGCAACGUAACAGCACAGAUACUGUAGUUUCGAAAGGGACUAGAAAGAACUACAAUUCUCAGAUCCUCCACUUCCUGGUUGACUUUUUCUCAGGUUUUUGCCUGCCAUAUGAGUUCUGUUAUACUCACAGACACCAUUCAAACAGUUUUAGAAACUUCAGUGUUUUCUAUCCAAAUACUAAUAAUAUGCAUAUUCUCGUUUCUGGGCAAGAGUAGUAACCAGCUUAAAUCGGGUACGUUUUUUCAUCCGGCCGUGAAAGUACUGCCCCCUAUCCAUAUCAGGUUUUAAGCCUUGUCUGAGCCAGAACGGCCCAUAGUGGUCAGUACUACCUAGGACUGUAGUGAACUAUCACUUAUGGCUUAGAGGUUAAAACUCCUCUCUAUUAUCAUGGUGUUAUAGACUGAUGGUUAAAUGAGAGGUGUAAAACCUAGCUAGGUUUAGCAUGGUGUUAUAGACUGAUGGUUAAAUGACAGGUGUAACACCUAGCUAGGUUUAGCAUGGUGUUAUAGACUGAUGGUUAAAUGACAGGUGUAACACCUAGCUAGGUUUAGCAUGGUGUUAUAGACUGAUGGUUAAAUGACAGGUGUAACACCUAGCUAGGUUUAGCAUGGUGUUAUAGACUGAUGGUUAAAUGACAGGUGUAACACCUAGCUAGGUUUAGCAUGGUGUUAUAGACUGAUGGUUAAAUGACAGGUGUAACACCUAGCUAGGUUUAGCAUGGUGUUAUAGACUGAUGGUUAAAUGACAGGGGUAACACCUAGCUAGGUUUAGCAUGGUGUUAUAGUUUUAAUAGCACUGUAUUAGGUUCUGUAUGGUGUUAGUGUGAUAUUAGUAGGGCGUACAGGAGCUGCAAGGUAUCAGGUCACGUCCUCGCAGGAUUACCACUGCUCUGAGA